rnacentral:rRNA from 1 species
AUUGAACGCUGGCGGCAUGCUUUACACAUGCAAGUCGAACGGCAGCGCGGGCUUCGGCCUGGCGGCGAGUGGCGAACGGGUGAGUAAUGCAUCGGAACGUGCCCAGUAGUGGGGGAUAGCGCGGCGAAAGCCGGAUUAAUACCGCAUACGACCUGAGGGUGAAAGCGGGGGACCGAAAGGCCUCGCGCCAUUGGAGCGGCCGAUGUCGGAUUAGCUAGUUGGUGGGGUAAAGGCUUACCAAGGCGACGAUCCGUAGCUGGUCUGAGAGGACGACCAGCCACACUGGGACUGAGACACGGCCCAGACUCCUACGGGAGGCAGCAGUGGGGAAUUUUGGACAAUGGGGGCAACCCUGAUCCAGCCAUGCCGCGUGCGGGAAGAAGGCCUUCGGGUUGUAAACCGCUUUUGUUCGGGAAGAAAUCCUCUGGGCUAAUACCCCGGGGGGAUGACGGUACCGGAAGAAUAAGCACCGGCUAACUACGUG